rnacentral:rRNA from 1 species
ACAUGCCUACAUCAUAGCGUUAAUGCACUGGAUCCCAUUAGAACUCGGCAGUUAAGCACACUUAGGCUAGAGUAGCAUUGGGAUGGGUGAUCAUUAGGGAAGUCCUAGUGUUUUACAUUCC